GGCUCAGGAUGAACGCUGGCGGCGUGCCUAAUACAUGCAAGUCGAGCGAAUGGAUUAAGAGCUUGCUCUUAUGAAGUUAGCGGCGGACGGGUGAGUAACACGUGGGUAACCUGCCCAUAAGACUGGGAUAACUCCGGGAAACCGGGGCUAAUACCGGAUAACAUUUUGAACCGCAUGGUUCGAAAUUGAAAGGCGGCUUCGGCUGUCACUUAUGGAUGGACCCGCGUCGCAUUAGCUAGUUGGUGAGGUAACGGCUCACCAAGGCAACGAUGCGUAGCCGACCUGAGAGGGUGAUCGGCCACACUGGGACUGAGACACGGCCCAGACUCCUACGGGAGGCAGCAGUAGGGAAUCUUCCGCAAUGGACGAAAGUCUGACGGAGCAACGCCGCGUGAGUGAUGAAGGCUUUCGGGUCGUAAAACUCUGUUGUUAGGGAAGAACAAGUGCUAGUUGAAUAAGCUGGCACCUGACGG
rnacentral:rRNA from 1 species